rnacentral:rRNA from 1 species
UACGGGGGCAGCAGUGGGGAUCUUGGACAUGGGCGCAAGCCUGAUCCAGCCAUGCGCGUGAGUGAUGAAGGCCUUAGGGUCGUAAAGCUCUUUCCCAGGAUGAUAAUGACAGUAUCUGGUAAAGAAACCCGGCUAACUCCGUGCCAGCAGCCGCGGUAAU